ensembl:rRNA 5S_rRNA 5S ribosomal RNA
GUCUACGGCCAUACCACCCUGAGCACGCUUGAUCUCGUCUGUUCUCAGAAGCUAAGCAGGCUCGGGCCUGGUUAGUACUUGGAUGGGAGAAGAUUCCUUAUAAAGAAGAUGAAAUUGUAGCUA